rnacentral:rRNA from 1 species
AUUGAACGCUGGCGGCAGGCCUAACACAUGCAAGUCGAGCGGAGCGGCGGACGGGUGAGUAAUGCCUAGGAAACUGCCUGGUAGUGGGGGAUAACGUCCGGAAACGGGCGCUAAUACCGCAUACUAUCAGAUGAGCCUAGGUCGGAUUAGCUAGUAGGUGGGGUAAAGGCAUACCAAGGCGACGAUCCGUAACUGGUCUGAGAGGAUGAACAGUCACACUGGAACUGAGACACGGUCCAGACUCCUACGGGAGGCAGUAGUGGGGAAUAUUGGACAAUGGGCGAAAGCCUGAUGCAGCCAUGCCGCGUGUGUGAAGAAGGUCUUCGGAUUGUAAAGCACUUUAAGUUGGGAGGCGUUACCAACAGAAUAAGCACCGGCUAACUUCGUGCCAGCAGCCGCGGUAAUUC